GUGUCAGCCGCCGCGGUAAUACGUAGGGGGCAAGCGUUAUCCGGAUUUACUGGGUGUAAAGGGAGCGUAGACGGUAAGGCAAGUCUGAAGUGAAAUGCCAGGGCUCAACCCUGGAACUGCUUUGGAAACUGUCCUACUAGAGUGCAGGAGAGGUAAGUGGAAUUCCUAGUGUAGCGGUGAAAUGCGUAGAUAUUAGGAGGAACACCAGUGGCGAAGGCGGCUUACUGGACUGUAACUGACGUUGAGGCUCGAAAGCGUGGGGAGCAAACAGGAUUAGAUACCCUGGUAGUCCACGCUGUAAACGAUGAUUACUAGGUGUUGGGGAGUAAUAACUCUUCGGUGCCGCCGCAAACGCAAUAAGUAAUCCACCUGGGGAGUACGUUCGCAAGAAUGAA
rnacentral:rRNA from 1 species